rnacentral:rRNA from 1 species
AGCAGCCGCGGUAAUUCCAGCUCCAAUAGCGUAUAUUAAAGUUGUUGCAGUUAAAAAGCUCGUAGUUGAAUUUCGGAAUCUGUCCGUUGGUCGGGCUUCACUGUCCGUACUGAUGUGAUGGGUUCUUACCUUCUGAAUAACCAUCAUGUCAUUAAUUUGGUGUGUUGGGGAAGCAGGACUAUUACCUUGAAAAAAUUAGAGUGCUCAAAGCAGGCUAGUGCCUGAAUACAUUAGCAUGGAAUAAUAAAAUAGGACGGCAUGGUUCUAUUUUGUUGGUUUCUAGGAUCACCGUAAUGAUUAAUAGGGAUAGUUGGGGGCAUUAGUAUUCAAUUGUCAGAGGUGAAAUUCUUGGAUUUAUUGAAGACUAAACUUCUGCGAAAGCAUUUACCAAGGAUGUUUUCAUUAACCAAGAACGAAAGUUAGGGGAUCGAAGACGAUCGGAUACCGUCGUAGUCUUAACCAUAAACUAUGCCGACUAGGGAUCGGACGAUGUUAAUUUUAUAAUGACUCGUUCGGCGCC